GUGGCUGUGGAUCAGUGGUAGAGUGCUCGCCUAGUAUAUGUGAGGCCCUGAGUUCAAUCUUCAGCACCACA
rnacentral:tRNA from 1 species